rnacentral:misc_RNA from 1 species
UCUCCGUAGGUGAACCUGCGGAAGGAUCAUUAUCGAGUUUUGACUGGGUUGUAGCUGGCCUUCCGAGGCAUGUGCACGCCCUGCUCAUCCACUCUACACCUGUGCACUUACUGUGGGUAUCAGAUCGUGAAGCGUGCUUUUUUACCGGAACUUGUGAAGCGUGUCUGUGCCUGCGUUUAUCACAAACACUAUAAAGUAUCAGAAUGUGUAUUACGAUGUAACGCAUCUAUAUACAACUUUCAGCAACGGAUCUCUUGGUUCUG